UACGUAGGACCCAAGCGUUAUCCGGAGUGACUGGGCGUAAAGAGUUGCGUAGGCGGCUUGUUAAUUGGAUAGUGAAACCUGGUGGCUCAACCAUUCAGACUAUUAUCCAAACUGGCAAGCUCGAGAAUGGUAGAGGUAGCUGGAAUUUCGUGUGUAGGAGUGAAAUCCGUAGAUAUACGAAGGAACACCAAUGGCGUAGGCAGGCUACUGGACCAUUUCUGACGCUGAGGCACGAAAGCGUGGGGAGCGAACCGG
rnacentral:rRNA from 1 species